GAUGAAUGCUAGCUACAGGCUUAACACAUGCAAGUCGAGGGACCGGCGCACGGGUGAGUAACAGGUAUCCAACCUGCCCUUUACCCGGGGAUAGCCUUUCGAAAGAAAGAUUAAUACCCGAUAUAAAGGGUGGGGAUGCGUUCCAUUAGGUUGUUGGUGAGGUAACGGCUGACCAAGCCUUCGAUGGCUAGGGGUGCUGAGAGGAAGGUCCCCCACAAUGGAACUGCGACACGGUCCAAACUCCUAGGGGGCGCAGCAGUGAGUAAUAUAGGUCACUGAGCGGUAGCCUGAACAAGCCAAGUAGCGUGAAGGGUGAUGGGUUAUUGGUCCUAAACUUCUAUUAUAUAAGAAUAGGUAUUAUAUGAAUAAGGAUCGGCUAACUACGUGCCAGCAGCCGCGGUAAUAC
rnacentral:rRNA from 1 species